rnacentral:rRNA from 1 species
UACGGGGGGGGCAAGCGUUGUUCGGAAUUACUGGGCGUAAAGGGCUCGUAGGUGGCCAACUAAGUCAGACGUGAAAUCCCUCGGCUUAACCGGGGAACUGCGUCUGAUACUGGAUGGCUUGAGUUCGGGAGAGGGAUGCGGAAUUCCAGGUGUAGCGGUGAAAUGCGUAGAUAUCUGGAGGAACACCGGUGGCGAAGGCGGGUUGCUGGGCUGACACUGACGCUGAUGUGCGAAAGCUAGGGGAGCGAACGGG